UCCCGUUCAGAGAGUUCAGUUAGAAGAGGCUUAGCUGAAAAGUGAAAUUACUGGAAAAAAAUUUGGUAAUGUUUUACCUCCAACUGGGAAGUUUUGUGAGACCUCAAACAUCCACUGAGUGCCACGAGGUGUCUCAGCUCUGUAACUCCCAUGCUUAGGGGGGAGGAGAUGGCAGCCUUAGCACCGUGCUGCUGCGGCCAGCCCGAGAGCAGCCUCCACGCUGUGAGAGGGAGUGGGAAACAAGGUCCCAGGGCAGGACUCCAGCUCCCUUAUUUGAUGUACAGCCAACUUUGCUUGACUCGCGCCAGCCUGUGUGGAGAUGAAGACAUGCAGAAAGGCCGUAUCUGCAUCCUGGUGCGCAGCAAGAGGAUGGCGGAGGGCUGGAGGGGGCUCUCCAUUGCCAGAGCCACUGCUGGACAUGGCUCACCCGGGGCUGCUCCUUGGGAGCUGUGGGAAGCCCAUGCACUGGGCUACGGCCCAUCAGGCCUAAUGGCAGAGCUGAAGAGCAGGCUGGGCUGUGUGGUGAGAAAGGGAGGACGCCCGGUGGCAGGAGCUAUUGAUUUUCUGAGUGGGUACAUGGAAUAACCAACUUGUGCUUCAGUUGCAGGCCAGGUUCAGCAAGAGCUUCAAAACCCCCGUUCGAGCUCGGGUCAGGUAGGAGUCCAGGUGCCUCCCCUCCCUCGCAGGAGGCGCCUGGCCCAGCCGGCCCGUCCGCGACGGGGCAGGAGCCGCAGGCCCUUGGGGUGACGGGCUGCCGGGGCCCCUCUGGCCUCAAGCUCUGCCCGGCGCCCACCUCAGCGUGGGGAAGGCCGAGGCCCCUGGCAGCCCCGAGGCGAGGUGCCGGCGGAGUGCAGGCCGCAGCCCGCUCAGCCGCCCGCCCUCCGCCGCCGGCUCCCCGGGCAGGAAGCGGCUACCGCUUCCGGGUCGGCAGCCCGGCAGCGGCGGGGCCCGGGCCGCCCCUCGAUAUGGAUAAAGUGAAGGAUGAAAAAAGUAGGAAGCUCUGUGCAACUUCACAAGAAGAUCUGAGAGGCCGAGGAAAUGAAAAAAGGAAACGAAAACGCAGUAGAAGCAGAUCAUCAUCCGUUACAUCCACAUCGUCUUCUAGUGCUACAUCCACUUCUUCUUCCUCAUCACGCUCAUCAUCAAGGUCAUCUUCUUCAAGUAGCAGAGAUUCUCCUAAGUCUAAAUCAAAGAAAAAGAAAAAAGAAAAACACAAUAAAAAGAAAAGGAAAAAGGAGAACAAAAUGAAGAAAAAGAAAGAAAAGAAGAAAAAGAAAGAGAAAACAGGACCUGUCCAGCUUUCCAAGUUCUUUAAAAACAAAAAGAAAAAUGAAAACUACAGCAUGAUAACUGGAAAGAAAAUUAAGAUGAAAAUAAAGAAGACUAAGAAGGAUAAAGAGAGAGACCGGAACCGUGCAGAACUCCUUGAAUUUCUGAACUCUGCCUUAUAAUGGGAAGAGUGCUAACCAAGGACUUGUAAAUAUACCAAGCCAACGAUCAUCAUGCCUAGCAAAACACUAAAGGGAAACUCAGGGAAAAGGACACCAAGUUUGACAAGACCAGACUUUCCCGCUGUGAAGACAAUCGGGAUGUCCUUUUUUAAUGGCAAAACGAAGAGUAACUGAUAACUUGCUAAUGAAGAUCCAUGUCCUCCUUUUGAGAUCCUGAGGUAAUAGCCAGGCUGUGGUGUUGUAGAAGAGCCUAAGAGUGUGUCAUUGCCAAUGAUAAGAACUGACACACUGAAGUCCAAUAAUGUAAUUUCUAUCCUAACUGCAUGCAGAACGCACUCUUAAUUUCAAUUGUCUUAAUGUUUCUAGUAGUUCAAACAGAGUAUUUGUAAAUGUCUAUUUGAAAGAUGAGUCAUUUCUAUAUGAAUAUUUUUUCCAGUAGUGGUUUUACUUGUCCUAAAGAGCAAGUUGACCUUUGUAAAUAGAACAUGCUUUUACAUAAAUGAUUUUUUGACGGUUCAUUCAUUAAUAUAUUCUUUUCUUUCAGAGUUUGAGAUAUCAUAGAAUGGUUUGGUUUGGAAGGGACCCUAAAGAUGAUCUAGGUCCAGCCUCCCUGCCCUGGGCAGGAACACCUCCCACUAGACCAGGUUGCUCAAAGCCCCAUCCAGUCUGGUCUUGAGCGCUUCCAGGGAUGGGGCAUCCACCACUUCCCUGGGCAACCUGUUCCAGCGUCUCACCACCCUCACAGUAAAGAAUUUCUUCCUAAUAGUUAAUCUAAAUUUCCCCUCUUUCAGUUUAGAACUGUUACUCUUCAUCCUAUCACUAUAUUGCCUGACAAAGAGUCCCUCCCCAUAUCUCCUAUAGGCUCCCUUUAGGUACUGGAAGGCUGCUAUAAGGUGAUCUUUCUCUGGAAAGUUUAUUUCCCUCUCUCACUAGAAGGUGUAACAAUAAAAUACUCUAGAGCAAUAAUGGAAGCUGAAUG
ensembl:lncRNA